AUUCAAAUCAAAAUCAUUUUCAGUUCCAUAAUGCUGCUCAUCGUGAGAUUACUGAUUGUACUUUUGGCAUUAUUUGCUGUAGUUUCUAGCCGAUGCUACUGGUAUAAUGAUUUAUUUUUAUAUGUUGUAUACUACAGCGGAGGCAGGAGUAAGAGAUCCUGGCACUGUAAUCCGUGGGAGACUUGAGUUAAUAACGAACUAAAAACAAUAGUCGUUCUAAAUGCCUAAUUAAAAAGUAAAAUACUUGCCGUGGAGAGGCCCUGAUAUGGUUAUGGUUAUCCAAGUCUACUGAUGUGAUGUGCGUAACAUCUAUCCAACAUCUAACAUCUUUGGUCUAUGGGAUUCCUGUUAAAGUUACACUGUUGUUGUUCUUGAUGCAUAAUUAAAAAGUUAAAUACUUUUGACCUCUAAA